AUUUGCAAAUGAACACAACUCUUCUGAUCAAUUAUGAUGACACUAAAUUGAUAUGCAAUCAAAUGUUCAUUACUGAGAUGUUCAAUAUUAGUUUAAUGGACAAACCAACAAAUGACUUCAAGAGCCAAGGAUAGAGUAAGAGUGAAAAAUUACAACUCAGAGUUGAACUGCAAAAUGGCAUCCUUUUGUGAACCAAACCAAAAUAACAAACAAAAAAACAAACAAACGAACUCAUCACCCAACUCCAUCAUCUCAUGCACACAUUGGCCCAAGAGGUGGUGGACAGUACCAUGGAAAAGAAAAAGAGAUAUCACAAGAAUGUAAAGAGGAAGGAGAGCUAUCAAAUUGUGCAUGAAGUAUCAAAUCACCAAUACAAAAAUGCAUUGAUGUUGCAGUGAAGUAAUCAGACCCUUCUGUCAAGUGAAAUCAAGGGGCUCUUGUGCGCCCCUCAUAGGGGAGGGAUGAGUGCCAUGGAAGGAUUGGAGCGAGCCUUCAUGGCCUUUGAGGCUAUUAGAAAACCACCCACCUUAACAAGGAGGUUGAAUGCGCAAAGGCCAUGAUGGUGGCUUCCAAUUCAUAUGCGAUGGAGGGACAACAACAAGGACCUGGACGCAGAUGAGUCAUGUCGCUCAGAUUCUUCAUAUCAUGCAAAGAAUGUUGCGAUGUGAUGCAAGGUUCGAUGAUUGGCAGAUGUGAUAGAUCCAUCCCUAUUGCUUGCUCUCUCUCACACUCGCUCUCACUCUCUCUCACACUUGCUCUCGCUCUCUCUUGCUUUAACUCGCUUGCUUGUCUUCUUACGUCACCCCAUGGAAAGGAUGAAUGUGCAUCAAAGUCUUACACUCACAUCAUUCAUUUCUUUGUUGAAGGGCUGCAUUCCUAGGUCAAUCACUAUAUUUGCCUACUUAUUGUAUGUGUGUAUGAAUGAAUGAAUGCAUGAAUGAAUCUAGAAUAAUAAUCAUAAUCAUAAUUUUAUCUUCAAGGACUAGCCUCAAGUUCAUAUCGUCAUUCCUUAGGUGAUAAAUGAAUUUUUAUGGCUUUUUUCUGGUUGCUUCAACUACUGUACUUUCUCUACUAUUUGUGCUUUGUUUAUUUAUUUAUUUAUUUAUUUUUGAGUGUAUGUAUACAUCCAUCCUUAACACUUUCUUUACUUCUGCUGCAAAGUUGGUGAAGCAUAUGUAUUCAGUUCCCUUGCUUCUGUAUGCAAAGAUGAAGUGAAUUGUCGUCCAUUUUCUCAAAAUGGAAUGGAUUGAGAGAGAGGAUGGUCUCCCAAGAAUCCUCUGCAACACAACCAACAAAUGAGACCCAAGUUUUACACAUGUGCAUGUUUAGCUGUAAGUAUGUACGUAUGUAAUCGAAAAGGAAGGAGUGGAAAUGUAAGUGUUUGCAAAGCAGAUGAUCAUCAUGCAAGCCUUGCUAACUUCACUCUGGAUUGUGGGUGGCUUGCCAAAACCCUAAUUGUGUCUGUUGCCAUCACCCCCACCAAGGCUUGAGAUCUGGUUGUUGGGAAGGAAGGAGGAGAACUCUUACUUUUUUUAUCUCAAAUUUAGUGCAACAUGUGAUUGUAAAAGUUUAUUUUCACUUCGUAUCUAUUUGAAGUUGUACUUUGUUUGAGCAAUGCUCGAAGGGAGAAUAAUUCCAUGCAGCACCCCAAGGAAUGAUUCCAGAGAAGUGACAGGGUUUCCAAGGGAAUGCAUCAGAGAGUUGACAUAUGGGCAGCAGGUGGUUUGUUACUGCAGAGUGUGGAAAACAGGAAGCAUGUGAGAGAUGGUGGUGAACAAGUAGCGCAGGUGUUUGUGGCCCUAGUUUGGAUUGGAAACUGGCUUGAGAAGCAGCUUGACAACAUCGUGCACUAGCUCGAGCACAUGUGACACCCCCCCCCCGUCCUGAACGAUUUGAGGAGUCAUGAAUCUGUGGCAUUUUGCCGGCUCAGCAAUCAAUAUUGAGUUUAAGUUGGCGACAACAUGCACCUAGUCAGCUGUGCCUGCUCAAGCUAUGAAGAUGAUGGACCCAUCCUCGUGACAACUACUCCCUCGACGUAGCAUUGCACGAGGCGGCGAUAACCCUACUAUCGAGUCGAGGAAAUAGGUGGCUAAAGUAGAAAUCGCUCAAUAUGACUGCACCAGAUAAACUCAGAUUAGGUACGUUUUCAGUGACUGAGUUUUGCUCCCUGCUCACAAUGUUUGGUGAGAAAUGAAAGAUGAUCCUCUUGGACGCGCAGGUCGAGGGCGACAUGCUGAAUAGGGCUAACUCGUAACCAGUGUUAGAAAUUUGCUGAAGAGGCGGGAGUACCUUCAAAGUGUCCACCUCACAUAGAUUUCGAAUUAGCAAAGGUCCAUGUACAUCCACAGAGCAUAUCCGAGAUUACUCCUUUCAGCAUGUUUUCAUUACGUGGCCUGUUGAUUAAUUAGAUUGGUAGCGAAGUGAGGACAUUUCAGUGAAAAUUUGUUUCAUGGGCAGAUUCAAUCCUAUUACAAAUUGCCAAGGACUGCAAA